AUAAUAUUACAUGCAACACCGAAUAUCACAUACAAUAAAGAUUUCAAACACAUUGAUAUAUGUUCAUAUCACAAAUUCACACAAGUCCAAAUAUAUAAGUUCACAAAUUCACAUAAAAUCAAAUACAUAAGUUCACAAAUUCACACAAGUUCACAUCCAUAGUUCACAUUUGUAGUUCACAAGUUCAAACACACAAGUUCAAACAUUAGCUCCAUCGCUCUCGAUCAGGACAUCGGAUUGUUGUUUGUAGCUCCACAACUAGAAUUGAGACAUCUGUCCGCAAAGUCAACGUGAGGGAGAGGAGUCACUUGAUGAGAGCCGGAAUCCUACAAAAUAAACCAAAAUUCUCAUAAAUAUACAACUGGCAUUAAAUCACAUUACCAUGCAAGAAUAUUCGGAAUAAUAUGACCAUUCGUGCUGCUCUACAUUACCAUGCAAGAAACUGUUCGAAUCGAUCGUGCAUAUCUACAUUCAAUAAGAUUCAAUAAUGAACUAGACAACCACAACUGCAUGUUUUUUUAAGAGAAAUAUGUAAAACAUCCAGAAACUAACCGACGAUUUUUUAUUCAACAAUGAUUCGUCCUCAUGAUAUAAUUUAACUGAUUGUAGUCCUGGAUAAAUAUCAAAUAUAGGAGCACUGAGCACACCCUCAAAAGAGAAACACACAGGUUAGUUCCUGGAUGCUUUACACUCCGUUGAUUCCAAUGAUCAUUUCUUACUUAACUCUUAUUCGACUCGCCAAUAAAUUGAAACCAUAUUUUAAGUUAACCCCCAAAGCCCAAACAAACAUCAAAGAAUAAUAGAUCUAUGGUUAUACACACUAUUAUCAAUUUAUCAUUGACACUAGUACUUGGCACUGCAAAAACUCAGUGAGUUGUUACGGACCAUGGGUGCUGCAUUUCUGUUGUGCUAUAGUUUUCCUUUAUGUGCCUCUGUGAUUGCACUUCAUUUGGGCCUAGUGAUGUAAGCAGAACUUGAUACUGUACGGCAAGGCGAAUUGUGUGCAAGUAUUUUCCUUUACGUGUCCGUACUCUAGGUCUCCGUAAUGCAUAAAUAUUCCCUCUCUCUCUCUCUUGGUUACAAUACAUUCGACUUUGUAAGGGAAUCCUCAACUACUAGUCUUUGACCCCUACUCUAGUUUUCAUGGGGUCGCAGCAUUAGCUAACAAAAACUCAAAGAAUAUAGAGAAAGAUAAAACGACCUUGCCUUUGUAUGCAAGGUAGCUUAUAUAAACUAAAAAAAGUGGUGAUUACCUGUGCGCCAUCAUAGAUCACCAAUGAAUCGCUUUGAUCACAGGUUAAUAGUCGCAGGAGAUACUGGCUGAUGGUGGUGGUGACUAACUGAACUUAUCUCCAGUAUGAUUUCCAUAUUUUCCCACUGAUCUUUUGAACUUCAACUGGAUGGAUCAUAUCUGAGUUGAAGCUGCGCAUUGUGGUAUGCUAUACUUGAGAAUCAGAACAAACAGAGAUGAAACCCUCAGCAAGUCAGAUAUUCUUUGUUUCUCCAUUGUCUGUGUCACCUGAUUCCUCUAGCAGGAGACCUAAAAGAGGUAAGGGUAGCAGCGAACUAAGAUUGCAGACGACAAUCAAUAGAGGUAGGUUCCCAAAGGUGUCCCUGGUGACCCCAAAUAUCCGAG
rnacentral:lncRNA from 1 species